GGGGAGGGUGUUAUACCUGUUGCCGGCACCACUUCCAUCGGGGCUGGAUCACCGGCAGGUGCGGGGGCGGCGCCACUUGCCCCUGUGCCAGCCGGGUCGGCGCCGCUGCCGGCAUCCGUGCGCGCCUUCUUGCUUGGCACGGCAGGCGGAGAAUUGUCCCUGCCCCUCUUGCCGGCGCUUGCCGACAAAUCGGCCUUCGGGGGGUUGCGCCGGAGCGCGAAGCCCCGGAAGAUCCCUCGUGCGGAUGGGGCCGUGGGUGCCCGUGGGGUGCCGCGGCCCGGGGCGCCACAGGAACCAUCGAUGGAGCCGCACGGUGUCGGCGGCCACGGCGGGUGUGGCUGCCGGGUCGCGGGCGGUCGCUGUCAAGGGGGCGCCGCCGCGGCCGCCGGAGCCGCUGGGGGGUGGUCGCCGCUGGGGGGCCGGCGGACGCCGCCGAGGCGGUCGCCGUCGUGGAGCCGGUACCCGCCGCGGGUGCGGUUUAGGCCUGGUAAUGGCUUGAAACCCGCCCCGUAUCCAAACCAAACCAUUCAAGCAUAUGUGAAUUAACCAAACCAAGCCGGACGAAAACUUAUUUUCUAGAAUCCAAACUGCACCAAUUCAUCCUUGUUUUCUCCCCGGAACACACCAAACCAUGGGUUCAACCUUGGCUCUUCUAUCCCCGCCGGCAGCGAGGCCUAAUUCCACCCUCGCGUUCAAUGUUCGGUGCCAGCCACGACAACGAGAGAGAGAGAUUGAGAGAUUGGGGCUAGCUGGAGAGAGAGAGAGUGUCUUGGGGCUGGCCGGCUGGGGUGAAGGGGCUGGGCUGGAUGAGGGAGCGGCCAGCGUAGACGGAAGUGGAACGACGACGAUGUAUGCGAUGGGGCCAGAGGCAUCGGCGGUGGCGCCGCAGCGGGCGAAGCGCAUAGUGUAUCGCACGGACUCAGCCCAAACCAGAUCAUUCCAAACCACAAUUAGACUAAAACCAGACCGAUCCAAACCACUUUUAAUCUCUAACACCUAAAGGCCCCCGUGUACGCCCACGCGGGGAGGAAACGCCACUAAAGCAGCGCGAUGCGCCGGGUGAUGAAGACCCGCGCCACGUCGAGAUCAGAGAGCCCGGCUAGCUGAAGGGCCUUGAUCUUCUCCACGAUGGGGAGGAGGUCGGCGUCGCGGUGGUACCGGUCCCGCCAGCCGGGGGCCUUCAGCGGCAACUCGGUGGGCGGAAAGAUGAACUCCUCGGGCUCGUCCACACGAACCCAGCACCAGUCCAUGCGCCACUCCUUCUCGAUCUUCUUGUCCAACUGGACGAUGAACUCUGACUUCAUCCGGUCGCGGGCACGAAACACCACCCCCGACGACAUCGCUUUCUUGUUCUCGAUGCAGGGGUAGAAGUAGUGCCGGAACAACGCCACCGAUGGCAUCACUCCGACAAACCCCUCGCAGAGGAAGGAGAAGAUGGCAAGGAGGUAGAGGGACAUUGGGUGGAGCUGCGGCACCCGCAGCUGGUACGUUUCCAUGAGUGCGUGGAGGAAUAGGGAGAAUGGAGGCACCAACCAGGCGAGUAUGAAGCGUCCGAACACCCGGAAGUCGGUGGACUGGACGUCGGCACCGGCGGGGAAGAUCAGGGUCUUCCCGUGCUCGUUGAAGUCCGAGGCGGCAGCGUGCUGGAGCUUGCCCACCGCCUCGCCGUUGUAGCCGGGCCAGAAGAAGGCAAGCGUGGCCCGCAUCUCUUGCUUCUUUAACUCUUUCUCUUCGGCGGCCUUGGUGGCCGCCGUGCUCUUGCUCUUCGAGGGCUUCGCCUCCUUCCCUUUUUUGGUUGUGGGGGGACCCAUGGGAGCGUGGGUGGAAGAUUGGCAAGGUUCUCGGGCGCAAGAUGCGAAAAGAUGGAAAGAGAAGGCUGGGAGGCUAAGUGUUUACCCCUCAGCGCAGCAGUGAAGCUUUAUAACACUCUGCCAUUUGGUAACGGUCGUUUCCGCACCCAGCAGGUGCGCUGGGUUAACUACAGAUCGUGGGGAUAAUGCGGUAAGUGGCCUUAACUUCCUUGUUUAAGGGAGAGGUUACGGCGGAAAUCUCACACCCACCCCUUCACCCGUAACGGCGGGGUCACUGGAUGACGAAGAGACACGGGCCCGAGUCGAAUCGGGACCCACGCGUCGGUUGGGGCGUAGCCCGGCAACCGGCCAGGGAAGGGUUCGCCCGGGAACGGGUGUUGCCGGCCCACGCCCGGGGGCUCCUGUCGCACCAGUGGCACCCGGGGUGCCACCACUGCACGACGCAUGGGUCGCAUCGCUUGGUCCCUGGGAGGAUCACACCCCGGGCGGCAACGUGCAAGCUGCCCGGCAAGCUACCAGCCCGGCAGGGCUAGCGGGGCUUCGGGGAAUAAUCUCGCCGGGGCGCUUCCCGGGAGGUAACUUGCCGAGAGGAGGCGUUCCCGGGCGCAGGUUCCUGCUGCGAAGGCAGGGCCGAGCAAACAGAGCACCAGCGCCACGUGGGCGUGCGGCAGGCGCCCAGUGUGCAGGGUCACCAGGACGAGGAGUAUAGCGCAAGACACAUUUAAUGAGCCGACAGGAGGGGGGUUAUCCGUCUAGUCAGGCAAACAGUGGCUGCCCAGAGCUAGUUUAUAGGGUAUUAGACCCCUAGUCGCAGGGCUGGCGCUCUUGCAUGUCUGCAAGUGCACCGAGGAGGAGCUGCCCAAGCUCCCUGCUCGCCACUUGUAAUCCAUGCACCGUGGCACCUGUGGCAUUCCCUUGGCUAUAAAAGGAGGAACCCCGCCAGCAGUCAAGGGGUUGAGUUCUGUUCGGUUUUUCUCGUUGGAUUAAGUCACAGUGCACUACUAGCCCUAGCCGGGAGUAGCAAGGAGCAGUUAGCUAAAAAGAGAGCACCUGGGGACCCUCCCCCGGCAACUUGUAAACACUCAAUCUUUCGAUAAUACGAGCUCAGACAAGCAGGACGUAGGGUUUUACACCUCCGGGUGGCCCGAACCUGGGUAAAACGUGCGUGCAUGUGUCCAUAGCGUUUUUGCAGGCCACGCAUCGGCCCCACCGGCGGUCGUUGGAGCGACCCCUGUCGCCCUCUGCCGAACCUAAAAAGGGGGUGCCCGCACACCCCCGGUGUCAAAGCCCCGUGCUGCGACACCGCCCAGCGCCUGACGUCUCCGUCACCGCUUGGCACCUCACCCGAUCCUUUGGACUACGAGCCCGCGGAACGAGACUUCUCACCUGCGGCGGAGUGCAGCGACGACAAUGCAGGCCAAAAUCCUCCGUCGCUGCCCAAACCCGAAGCCCCGAAGCCAUCCGCACCAAGACCCGUCCCUCAGAGAGCCGCAGCACAAUCGGCCCCGUUGGAGCCCCGUCCAAGUGCCCCAUCUGGGAUGCAGGUCCCCCAUAAACCGGCCAGUUCCGAUUUCCUGAGACGCAGGAAAAACAAGAGGGGGACAGGCGGCAAGGCAAGCAAGGGCUUCUCCAAGGAGGGGAAAGAGUCGUCUUCUACGGGAAGAAACCCAAAGACCGCGCCGCAGAUAGAAGGGAUUUGGGAAGAGCGACCAGACAUUCUGAAGAUGCCGACCCACCCCCGUGUUGGAGAUAGAUUGCCUGAUAGAUCUUAUUUCGUGGACAGGCGAUUCUCCCAAUUUUUGUUGUUCCACCCCGGACAACCGAUGGUGUCUCAGGAAGACCUGUAUCGCCUGCCACGGGAGAUGCAAGAGCUCCAUGAAAAGUACAUGAAUGUGGCAUCAUCAGGCGCAGACCUAACAAAUAUGGAAAUUAGGGUUCGAGUGCCAAAGCAUUAUGUCUUCUUCGACUCCAAUACGGGGCAAAUCCAAAGGGAAAACGACGUUACCUUCGGCAUUGACUUUCUCGACUUGUUUCACCUCUUCAACCGCAAGUGCCUCGACAACGCCAUAUUAAGACUGCGGUGUGUACACUACACGAGGGAGGCCUAUAGGGUGAAGCAAUAUGGGAUGGCCGUCGCCGACCCCCUUCUCUUCAACGCCACUUUGCUUGGUCCAGACCCAUUGUUGGCCGAAAGUAGAAGGUUGGCGAUUGAAUACCUCACUCAAUUCAUGUUGAAGCACCAAGACCGCCGUUUUGUAUUGAUAUUGUACCAUCUACAGUAAGUUGUUUUCAAUUCGCGUGAAUACAUACAUCUUUUUCCGUCAGAAGACUAGCUUGUUACAUUAUUUGGCUAAUACAAUGUGCGUCCUUUUGUGAAACAUCGGCCAUUGGGUGACAAUCGCCAUCUGCCUCGAUAUGAGAGGGGUUACAUAUUUUGAUCCACUGCGACGCAAGGAAAAUGAACCACAACGCGACUUUGAGCCGAUCAAAUAUGUCAUCGACGCAGCCUAUCGCGACGCGGUGAAAUGGUACGCGAUGCCUAGCUUCAGCCGCAAUCGUGACGCUCCCCUCAGGCACACUUUCAACUUCCCCUGCAAGCAACAGCCUGAAGGAUCCGUCUACUGUGGUUACUACUGCGCGCACACUAUUCAGCAGACUUCCAGCCGAAGGGGAAGCAAACCUUCGAAGAAGUGAGGAAUUGGUUUCUGGCCAACGCCGAGUUAGGGCAUAACUCAGAAAUUCUCGUGUACGAGAUCCAGAAGGACAUCGGCGAAAUCCUCAACAAGGAGGUCCUCAAAUCGAGCGGGGAUUACUACGGCGGCGGGAUUGUCGACAAAAGAGGCUAAAUUGUGUGGAACACUUCUAUUUGUGGCUCAUUCUUUCAAACACUUUGUAUACAUGCAUGUGACUUGAAUGUUUAACUCGUGUGGAACUUUGUAAUAUAUUUGCUGCUAUUCUGUUUCUUUGGUGUUGUAUACUGUGCUGCUGUAUUCCUGCUAUGUGUUGUAUUCCUGCUAUUUCUGUGCUACAGGAAUAUUUAUUUUUAUACAUAAUUCUUUUUUCGGAAAAAAAUAGUACCAGUGGCGGUUAUACACCACCGCCACUGGAAAAGGUGUUCCAGUGGCGGUGGCCAAAGACCGCCACUGGAAAUGUCUAGUGGCGGGUAAUUUGCUCGCCACUGAUGUACUCCACGCACUUUUCGGGUGGUGCCGGAGGGAUUUACAGUGGCGGUUUGUAGGUCUUCGGUGGCGGGUAUUUUACCCGCCAUUGGUGAUCUCAGUGCAGCAGUGGCGGAUAUUUUACCCGCUACCAUUGCUAAAACCUCCAGUUACGCAGAGUGGGUGGCAGACGUGACCACCGUCACCAACCCCAUUUUUUGACCGUCACUGGAGGGGUUUUCUGGAGUAGUGCGCUGAUUUGGCUUCCUUUCCUUGUUUGGGAGGACAUUUCUACCCGAAGUGUUCUAGAGACCCAGGAGAUUAGUACAUUUGGUCUUGCUUUUUCCUUUUUUUCUUCUUUUGUUUUUCCCGGGAUCCACCUUGGAUCUCCCUGUACAGUGCUUUCCUUGUAAUCAAAUGACUGGUAUCGACUGUCUCUUCCUAAAAAAUAAACCAGGACGCAGAGAGGAGGAGGGCAGACUCAGCCUGGAUAUGAAGCAAGGACAAUGUACUGAGUAUCUGUUUUAUCCUUAAAAAAGGGACUUCGUAGAGAGGGCGGAGUAUUUUAAUUUACAGUUUACACCAUAAUCCAUAGUAUAUGUGCCUAGCCUUCUGAUCCGCUGGAUGCACCAACCAGGAGGCAACUGCAUGCUAUAGCGCUCCAGGCCAAUAAAUUCUCAAGCAACACGCACUGAUAUGCAGCUACAGUAGUCAAGCUAGCAACACUUGUCGCUUUCCUCCUGUUCUUCUCCUUCCUUUGAGAUCUCUGGCAUGCAUCCACCGGCAAGCUAGCGUCUGUCCCUUUGCAAGCAACCUUGUUUGUUCUGAACCACAAACCAAAUAAACUACAGUUCUGCAUGCAAAUUGGACAAGGCGCUAGAGAACAUGCAGGGCUGUGCAUAUGUACACAUGAGAUCGAGACAUAUAACCAUGCAUACACACAUGCAAAACUCUUAGGAAAGCAGUUGACAUGGCAGAACCGGUCUUCACAUGCGAUAACUGUUUCGUCGGAAAAGGCAGGUAGACAUAUGUUCUCUAACUCAUAUAUGGUCGAUGCACACAUGCAGGGAGCAGAUCAGCACUGCUCUGAGAUCAGCAGUAGUAGUACACAUGUUGUUUCAAAUACCAGUAGCAAGCUUCUCCGAUCAUGUAGACAUGAUUCAUUUAGAGCCUAGAAUCCUCUUACGUGUAUCUCUCAGUCUCUCGCUACUACGUAAUGACCCUUUCCCGUACCCCUUUGGUGGCACCCCCCGUGAUGACUUCUGAUACAUACAUUUUACAUCAUCAUUAUUAAAUCAUAUCGGUUUAGUUUUUAAUAAUAUUAUUACUAUCAUAUAUGUUCUUUUUUACAUGUUUUUAGAAUAUUUUGUAGACUUUCUUGUAAAGUCCCAACAUUUUGGUAUUUAAUUCUGGCAGACAAAAUUCGUGCAUUUUCUUGUUUUGAUGUUUCAGGUACCUUUGGGGCGUCAAAAAUAUCGAGAAGGAAAACAGAAUUCCUGCAUUUUCUUGUCUGUUGGCACCAAUGUAUUUUUUAGUCAGCAGUGUGUUGGUAUUUGAUGAGAUUGAGUGUUCACUCAAUACUCUUAGAAAACACUAGAAUGACAAGUGUUUUUAAUUGAUACAAAAGUGAGGUGUUCAGUGAGGAGGGGACUAGGGAUAAUUUUUUCUAAUUCUCUAUACCAAACGACCAUUCAGGUUUAUAAUAUUUUUCAAUCUGGAGUGAAUUAUGACCUAAAAAGAAUACUGAAAACACCUGUGCCAAAUAAGACCUCAGGUGUUUCCUCUCGUAACGACGGGCUGAAAACACCUGUGCCGAGCAGGAAAACAGAAACGACCGAUCAAGCGCGGUUUUGGGCUGCCGUCGGAAUUGUUUCCGGCUCCGAGUUUUACCCAGUAUUGGGCCGGAAAACGGCCAUCCAAACCGGCCUAAUCUGUUUCCGUUUCAAUUUCUCUGUCCUAUACCGAUACGACGUACGGUACUUCCUUUGCUCUUGCUCUCCCGAUUCCUGCCGUGCCUACCGUCCCCCCCAAUCUGACCCUGUACAGCUGCCGCCGUGCCAUACCUCUCGUACGCGGCGCUCAUCGCAUCACUGCGGCGGCCUCCUCCGCCGCCCCCCGUCCCGCGCCCAACUCGAUUCCCCGCCACUUACGCUCGUCGGCGGUUUCGCCACCAUCUCCACCUCAUCUCGUCCCUGGUGUCUGAACCCCGUCCGCAAUUUUGGCCAUUGGUUACUCAGGUAUGAGCCAAUCUGUCAUCAAUGAUUAGUUAAACCCCACUGGCUGCCAGAAAUUUGGGUUUGGCAGAACUCGGAACACCAUCCAGAUACCCCCUGUUUAUAUGGAUGGUACUGGUAUGCAACUUUGUGUUAAGGUCAGGUGGCAUGUUUUACGAUCUCUUGGGUACAGUCGGGGGUAGAAAUCGUGCCUGAAAUUAAGCAAUUGGAUUUUUCAUUGUUAGUUUAGGCGACGGCGAUGCCAUUGUCAAAACUGGAUUUGCUAGUAUCCGAAAGUCAGGUAUCAUGCUGAAAGGUAGUUUCUGUAGAUUGUUGGGUUGUGGACUAUUGGAUAGUUUGCUUUGUUCUGCAUCUGCGCCACACUGACAGGCCUAGAUGUGGAUGGUAUUGGAAUUGAUCGCUUGUUUUCUUAUGUUUUUACUGUCAAUUGAGUUGCCACAGAGUGGAGUUUGUGUAAGCCCAGUUGACAUAUUGACUUUAAUGCACUAGGAGUAUAACUUUUCUAUAAUUAGCCGUUAUUUCCAUGUUUAGAAAACCAAUCAAUGAUGUCUUUGUAGCAAUGCUUCGUUUCCUUUUCUCAUGAAGCAGCUAUUGCAUAAGUGUUGUCUGGAAGAAUUGAAAUAAUGUUCUUGAAUGACUGUUUCUUCCAUUACCAUCAGUCUAUGGCGCAAGGUCCGGAAGAUAAAUAUUUUAAAGGUUUCUUCCAGGUGAUCAGCUGUGGCAUGCAAGGAAGUCUUCAGCUUUAUGAUGUCCUUUCUGAAGGGCACACCCACUCAAACAGUAUUUAAGUGGCCAUGGAGAAGCCAACCACAGUUAUCAGCACAUCUGCUAGCUGAUGUUCCACCUCAAAUCGAGUUGUCCGACUACCGAAGAUUACCAAGCUCUGCUAGUGAGACCCCAUCAAGGCUUCUUCAUGGAGAAGACAUAAAGGCUGACCUCAUUCCAGACCUGGAUAUUUUCUUUGAGAGGCUUUAUGAAUAUUUCUGUGCAAAAGGUCUAAGAUGCAUAAUAAUCAAGUGGAUAAUUGAGAUCCUCAAUGUGACAUUUGUGCUAUGUUCUAUUGGUUUUUUCUUCUUGUUUGUUGAUUGGGGUUCCCUCUCCCACUUAAAAUGUGGGGUGGAAGCACUUGAGUCUGGGGAGAAACCAUGUGACCUGAUGAAAGUCAUUAAGAAUGACCCGUUAGUGCCAUUCACAUUUCUGAAGAUGGUCACUGUUGGGUCGAUGGUUAUAUUGACUGUUUAUGGACUUAUUAACUUUCUGAAGUUUUUUGUAAAACUGAGAAGCACUCUCAAUGUUCGCGACUUCUACAAUAACAGGUAAUAUUUCAGGUUCAUGCAUCAUACGCGUUAUUAACUACUGCUGAGUACGACAGGUGACUUAGCAAUAUGCUUCCCUUUUUUUGUAGUCUUAAGGUUACAGAUCUUGAGAUACAAACCAUAUCAUGGCCCAGAGUAGUUGAGAAGGUUGUCCUUUUCCAGAAAUCACAACGGCUAUGUGUUGUUAAGGAUCUCUCGGAGCAUGAUAUCAUCAUGCGAAUCAUGCGGAAAGAGAACUACUUGAUUGGGAUGGUUAAUAAAGGCAUAAUUGCAUUUCCCAUUUCCCGUUGGCUGCCUGGAGCUGGUCCAACUGUCAGUUCUCGUAUGCAUGGAAGGAAAAGCUAUCUGAUGCUUCCAAAGACCCUUGAGUGGAGCUUGAAUUGGUGCAUCUUUCAGAGCAUGUUUGACAGGUAAGUAACUAUAAUUCUGCUUCUUGUACCCUAUUGGAAGCAUAUUCUAUGUAUGCAGCAUGGAGCAUUGUACCCUCCAUGAUGAACUGAUUCAUAUCUUGUACAGAUCCAUUUGUAUCAUUAUAUGUAUGUUAGGCAUUGAAAAUAAAUUAAUGAUUAAGUGAUAGAGGAAUGUAGACCUCGUUGACCUUUUCGUAGACAUUUGGAACUGUAGUAUUAACCUUAUUAAGGUGUGAAAUGAGAUGUGCUACAAUGAAGAUGAUGCGAACAUGCGAAUCUCAAAGCAUGAACCGACGCUGCAUCUAGGUCUGGUAUAACCCAGCGGGCAGCCACAUAUCAUCCAUAUGUCAUAAAGCAUGGACAUACUGCAGGCAAACAUGGAUUUUUUUUCCAUGUCAUAACAUAUGCAAACAUUUACUGUUGGUUAGCAUAUAUCUUUGAAAUUAUUAACUUCUGGUAGAGAUAACUUGAUGAGUAGUGAAUAAAGUAGAGAUAACAAUGUCGCUGAACAGGUGAUUUUAAUUGCAUUUGAGCAAUGUUAUCGAUGUAAAACUAAAACAACCCGAUCAGUAGUGACUAAGCUAGAGAUAACAAUCUAGGUAACGCAAUUACGAUAAAAAGUACUUACGAGUAUGAAUUGCGGAAACACAAUCUAGGUGACUCAAUUAUGCUAAAAAGUACUAAAGAGUAUGAACUGCAGAAACGUAAGUCUGUCAAAGAGACAACAAAACACAAGAAGCACAAGACCAUGUUUUAUUGAGUUCAGGUACCGUACCUCUCUGUUGAGGAAGCUUGAUCCGAUGAUCAAGCCGGCUCCAAAACAAGCUCUUGUCCUUGCAAGAUCAGUCUCACUUGUGAUGAUCCUUCACCUUGUGUUAGGUGGAUCUCAAACCUUCACUAACACUUGGGCCUCUUCACAAUCCUAAUUUUUUCUACAGUUGUCCGAGUAGAUCUAGUUGCUGUAAACAUCUAAUAUUGUUCAGAAUUUAGUGCUCUUGUAUCCCUGAUUAUUUACAUAAUUUCCCUUGUUGCUUCAAAAUGUGUGCUACUAUUUAUUUCCACCUCUUUUAGUCUGUUAGUUGAUACCGUUUUUAUUUUGCCUUCAGAUCUCAUUUCAUGUUCUCUUGCAGCAAAUUUUGUGUUAGAGAAGAUUUUUUAGCGAGUCCAUCUCUAUUGAAAAAACGGCUUAUAUUUAUGGGUAUAACGAUGCUUCUUCUAUCACCCUGCCUUGUAAUCUUCCCACUGGUAUACCUGUUCCUGAGACACGCUGAAGAGUUCUAUAAUCACCCUAGUACAGCAUCAUCUCGAAGAUGGUCAAAUCUAUCACGGUGGAUCUUGAGGGAGUUCAACGAGGUAGUUUCUCUAGUAAAACAAGUUCUUUCUGAAAAGAAAUGACAGUACUUGGAAUAUUCUAAACUCUGGAUGAUCAUGUGCCCCCUAUCCCUUUGCUAACUCCACUGCUUCUAACAAUUCAGGUUGAGCAUUUCUUCAAACAUAGGAUGAACAAUAGCACUGUGUAUUCUUUAAAUUAUUUCAAGCAGUUUCCGACUCCACUAGUAUCUAUUGUUGCCAAAUUCAUAUCAUUUGUAUCUGGUGGCUUGGCUGGCAUUCUUCUCAUCCUUGGAUUUCUGGGAGAAUCCAUCCUUGAGGGCCAUGUAAGUUUAUUUCUGUUUGUUCAAGAUUUCAGUGUUACACAAUGAUCUACUUUUUCACCUUUUAAGAUAUCAUAUCAUAUUCAUAAAUUAUGAAGGUUUUUGGUCGAAAUCUAUUCUGGUAUACUAUUGUUUUUGGAACAAUAGCAACUGUAAGCCGGAAAGUCGUGGCUGACGAACUUCAAGUGAUUGAUCCAGAAGGAGCCAUGUCCUUUGUGGUCCAGCAGACACAUUAUAUGCCAAAAAGGUGGCGUCGUAAAGAGAGCAGCGAACUUGUGCGAAGUGAAUUUGAAACUCUAUUUCAGGUAACUUGGUACUCACUAGUCACUACACAGUUCUUUUGCUGCCAAAUUAUCGGUCAAUUCAUUACUUGCAAAUUACAAAUGCGAAGCGACCAUUAUUGACCGUAGCCACAAGGAAGUAUUGUCCUCAGUGUUUGUAUCAGUUAGCCUCACUUGAGCAGGCUUCAUUCAUCCUUAUUAUUUUUAACUUUUAAUUUCCAGUCAUUUAUUUUCAUUUUGACAAGAAAAAUAAAAGAAAUAACAUCUACAGUUGUUUUUCUCUCAUAUAAAUAGACAACAUUUUCUUUUCAAUUUAUUAAAUGGUGUCUAAAUAAUAAGUACUUACUGCUUUUAUGCUGCCAACUAUUAACCAGUUUUGAUAGAGGGUUGGUUGAUCCAAAUAAGAAAGUGCUGCCCACCAACCUGUAUUGUGCAUUUACAUCUUGGUUGCUCUUACCUUUUUUUAAAUGAUGUUUAAAUAAGAAAUACUUAUUGCUUCUAUGCUGCGAAGUAGUAACCUGUUUAGAUAUAAGAGUGUGUUGAUCGGAAUCAGGAAGUGAUGCUCACCAAUCUGUAUUGUCCAUUUCAUCUUGGUUGCUCUUACCUGGGUAGCUUAUUAGUUAUUUGUGACCCAACAAUGAAGAUAUUACUUGUGCUGCUUUUUCAAGUGCUGUUGCUGAUUCCUUGUGAAUUCAAUUGCAGUAUACCAUAACAAUGCUCCUAGAAGAGAUGGCCUCGAUUUUGAUCACCCCUUACCUGUUAAUAUUUGUGGUGCCGAAGGUAAUGUUUUCAGCUAUAUGUUUUUGACCCCUUGCGUCUAAUUUUGUUCUGCAGUUAUUCAGUUUGUAUCCAUGUGCAGCGCGUUGAUGAUAUCCUGCUCUUCAUUUCGGACUUCACAGUUUACGUAGAUGGAGUGGGAGAUGUAUGCAGGUCUGUUCCUGUCAUCCAAAUUUCAAUAUCAUUGCUGCUCUGUUUGCUUUUUGUAACAUCGUCAUUGCUGUUUGACAUCUCAAUAGCUUAAGUUUGUUCGACUUCAGAAGUCAUGGCAAUAGAAGCUAUGGUUCACCAGUUGAUGCAGUUAAAAGCAUGAGGAGCUCCCAAGGGAAAAUGGAGAAAUCAUUAGUGAGGUACCCUUCACUGCAACACGUAGUAGAUCUCAUAGUACUCGUGCUUGUGCUAAAAUUUUGGUGCUGUGGACAUUUAGAAUGUCCUUGAUCGUAUAUGAUAUAAGUGUGCCCCUUGUCAUUGUACCUAUGCAGUUGUGCACUUCCUAUCAUGAGACCCUCAUCUGACUUGGCUUCUCAAAAAAAGCCUAUUAAAUGCUUUCACCUUUGGCAUUAUGCAUUUACACAGUUUCUUGCUGGACUGGGUGGUUUAUUUUGUGCUCAAGAACUGUAUACCUUGUCAUCCGCCCUUCAGUUUUGUUUGGUCAGAAACUAGGUCCUUAAACUUUGUAACUACCGUCAUAGAAUUCUCUUGGUAUUAUGAAUAUAUAUUUUCUGUCACAAUUUCUAUCUGAAUAAUAUUAGUUUAGUUCAUGAAAUCCUAGUGUAAAAAAAAUGAAGAUGGUCAAGAAGACAAUUAAUCUGAUAGGGUGUUUUUUUUUUUUGCCAAAAUACAACUUGCCAGAUAAACGUAGGGACCUAAAAAACAUAGCGAAUGGUUUAUACGCAAAUGUACAAACUGGUCUGAACUCCACGUGGCGCUGACGUGGCUAAUUUCGGACUAAUCCGACCAAAAGUGCAUCCGCAAGUUAAGUUCUUGUACCACCUGGCCCCAUUUUGCAAGUUGUUGUACUACUAAUAAACUGCUGGCGCGAUACAAGUUCUUGUACCCCCAAUGUUAUUACCUCAAUUACCGAUAAUUUUCUUACUGAUGCUUCUUUAACUGUUGGGAUUCCAUAUGUUUCAAUGUAAGAUUUUAUUUCAUUCACACUCCACCAGACAAAACUUGCAUUGGAAAUCCUUUUACAAAAGAAAUGUUGCAAAGGUAAGUAAAUUAAGUUUGGUGUUGGUUAGAUUGACAAAAUUGUGUUGAUUCAUUAUUUGCAGUUUCCAAAGCACCUAUAUCUCAUGGGAGCCAAAUACUGAUAGCAAGAAAUUCUUGUGCAACCUCCAGAAAUUCAAGGAAACGCAAAUUCGUGAGCAUACCUUUCAAGCAGUGGAAGCAUCACAAGAUGGGUUAAGUACUAGAGGUCAAAGUGCUCAAAUUUUCCAUAGACUGCUCCCCAGGAAUAUCCAGCCCAGCAAUGGAAUUAUAUAUGACAGCCCGCUAGGACUGCUUGAUACAGAUCGAAGAGCUUGUCCAUAUAUCCUGGAUUGGUAUUACACACAUCACCUGCCACACUCGGAUACAGAAGACAAUGCAACUCGCCACCCUGAUGAAUCAUCACCUGAUCCUGGGGAGGAUUUAUGGCCACCACAGAGCAAACCAUUGACAGAAAUCGAAGAGGAGGAUCCCUGGGAUUCUGAUUUGUAUGAAAGAGCUCGAAGCUACUUGGAGGCAUCAACAUCGAGUGCAUUGUUUCAAUGUGCCGCCUUCAAGCGCCAGGGCAAGGAGCAAAACUACACGAGCCGUCAGUGGUGGGCUCAGUCAUCUGCACGGUCGGUUGAUCUGCUUGAUAGUUUUCUUGAGCCUCCGGGAGGGAGUUUUCUUGAACCGGCACAUUUUAGAAAUAAUUAUGAUUCUGGCCAUUAUUCCAGUCAUCACAGUGACAGGCCGCUGACCUCUUCACAACCAACAAGUCCACAAGGCAGUUUCCUUGAGCCCCCAAACUUCGGAAACUAUUACACGUCUAGCCAUCAUUUAAGCCAUCACAGCGAAGACCUGCCGUCAGGGACAACCAGUGUACAACUAGACGAGAGCAACACCAGAGGCAGCAGUAGUUGGAGAAGUCCCCAGGCCCUGUUGAAGACCAGAUACAUGGAUGAUGACUUUGACAUGGAGCAAGGACUUAGUUUCAAUUUUGCUGAUGUGCCUCGGAUGGAUGACAGCGAAGCUGAAGAUCAGGACAAUGGCGGUCUCAGCGCCGCCAAUAUUCAUAACCCUAUGUCAGCCAGCCUCACCGUACGGAUAAUACCUAGAAGCAGUGAUCCUGUUUAGUCUGAAGAAAAAAAAUACUUAAAACAAGAAAAAGAUAGUAAUAUUUGUGACAUGGUUAAUGUUUAGAAUUACUUUGGGAAGAAAGGAAGGACGUCAGUUUACUCUGAUUCAGUCGAGUCUGACAAAUUGUUUUUUUAUACAUGAAUUACUUUGCUGAUGUUCCCUGUUUAGGAUAGGGAAAGGCCAUUCUUUUGCGACCUGAAUUGCAGAAGAAUGGAUUGAGUGGAAAAGAGUAAACAAUCUUAUAUGAACAUAAUAUUUGGACAUCAAGUUUUUACUCAACCAGAAAUGAAGAUACCACCUUUUUUUUAUUACAAAAGUAAUUUGUGUUCUAUCAUUGCCAAACCAAAAGCAAAAAAGAGCACAUGAAACUAACUUUUAGGUGCUUGCCUGCAAAUUGCUGUGCUGCUGAGCUCCUUGCCAAACCCUCCUCCUGCUCCAUCUUCUAAGAAGCCAUGGAAACAGCAGAUGAUUAGAGCCUCCUGCUUCAUCUGCAACCCAAUCCUCAGGUAUUCUCUCAUCUGUUUUUUCUCUCAUGUCUUAUGACUGCAUCAUAAUUCAUAUGGGAGGGGCAAAGUGAGCAUGGGUAUGAUGUAGAAUAAAAUCAUCAGAUUAAUCAGUUUGCACAUGUAUGAAGAACACAAGCAAUUCACUUUUUGAUGCUCCAUUGGGAUUUUAUGGCUUCAAAAUUUCAAACUGGCUAAUUGUGAAUUAUUGCUUAUGUGCAUAGGGGCAUAUAUUCCAUUUUUUUACGAACCGUUGCAAAUCAUCACAAGACUUCCAAUUUCGAAAUUUUCCAUAACAUUAUACAAAAGUAGUACUAGAUGUAUGAUUCUACUGGUUUUGAACACCUUGCAGGACAAGUUACACUAUUGUGCACCUUGCAAGUGCAGGUUGCUUGACUGAUAGGUUGUAUUUUGUUUCAAAAGAUCUAUCUAAAUUUCAGAACGGAACUAACAAAUGAGAGCGUUCAAGAUGGCAAAUUUAUGUGUGACUACUUCUCACAGGACCUCAGUAAAUUACAGAAGUUUCUUUAUGACUAAUUAUAGCUGUAAAACUCUAUUGUAUCACUUUGAUUGCUUAUUUGUACAGGUCUUAAAUCAUAGUAGUAGUUGUUCACUCGGCAGGAGUGUAUGAACUAGCUGUGAGUAGUAGUAUCUGUUUCUUGCUCUCCAACUAUUGCUGCAUUAGAGAGGCCUCUGCUUCAUUACCUACCAUAUAUACCCUAUUUGAUUCAUGAAAUAAAUAAACUAGGUGUAAUUUGGGGGUAUGAGAAUCCUCAGGAAUAUAUACAACUUUGAUUUGCAAAGCAGAAAGUAAUAUAAGGUGCCCUCUUCAAGGUGAAAAAAAAACACUACAAUCUAUAUCACGUGUUAAUUAACAGAGUUUUGUUUUUUACCAUGGAGGAUGUGGAUUCACAUUGCACUCAUGGAACAGUUGACAUUAAAAAGUAACCUGCUCUUAAAAGAAGCACAGGGAACUGGAGAGCAUGCUUUAUUGUGAUUUGUAAGGACUGCAGAAAGAAACAAGUUCAAAGAAAAUGCACAUCAUUUUUUUGUGAGUUUAAACAAUGGUCAACAUUCCAUUGUUUGGCCUGCAUUAGGAAUCAAAUUCAGUGAAUGCUUGGCCUUCUUUGCUAUCUCAAAGAACUUGCUCGCCUACCUUACCAGGAUGCUCCAUGAAAGCAAUGGCGAUGCCGCGAGAAAUGUGUCUACCAGGAUUGGCACCAGAUUCUUCACACCACUUGUCAGAUCUUUCUUGGCAGACAUAUCUUGGGGAAGAUUCAAGACAAUAGUGAUCUACCUCUCGGUUUACACCGUCGUAAGUAAAAACUCUGAGGCUGAUUUAAGAUAUGUGCAUCAUGUGCGGCCUACAUUUCUGAAUAAUUUGAUUUUUGCUAGGGGAUGCUUGUGAUGAAGGUUCUGGCAUCACGUCCGGCAAUGCUGCAAUCUUCCAACCAUGGUGAGAUCCAUUGUGUCGUCGUCUGCCCAGAACUUUAUCUUACAGCCCUUGGCAAUGUUGGCAUCAAGCUCUGCACUUCAUCUGGGUGUCCUUCAACUGGGUACUAUUUCUUGACAACGUUGGGGGUCGUCGUGAUUCUGAUGUUCCUCAUGAGCCUCAGUUUCACGGCGCUUUUCACUGGUUUUGGUUGUACAGAUACAAGAAAAUAUGCGAGUCUUGUAAGUGCUCCAGAUUGUUGUAGCCGUGAGGAAUUUGCCAUCUGAAGUUGCCUAACGAUAGUCAGCUCAGCGUCAGCUGUCUUCAACAUCAGAACCAAGGACGCUGCUUGGGUGACGUAGGGCGCACUCACUGACGCAGGAUCCCAGAAGCAACUACUAAGGUUGAGCAUAGCACUAAAUUCGGGUACUGAAAUUUCUUCAGAAAAUGCCAACUUUGAGAAUUUGUUUACACUAGUGUGGUGCACAUGCAUUGCUACAGAAACCACAAAGAAAAUAGUAAAGGACGUAAUGUGCCAAAUGAGUGCAUUUGUUUUGGUUCGAUUGUACACAACAAAUAAUCACAUCUUCCAUAAACCACAUACUUCCCCCGUUCCGGUUUUAUUGGUCCGAUCUCUCAGAUCGGGGUAAUCAAGGCAGAAUCCACACCUCAAACGUUAACUGCUGGUGGUCAGAUCUCUCAUAUCGGGGUAAUCAAGGCAGAAACCACCUCAAACGUCAUUAACUGAUGGCUUAAGAGAAAAAUCGCAAAAAACUCUACCGAAGGAGUAUCGUUCCAAUUUUAUCGGCUGUCCCAAAGGGACUACAGAAGGAGUAGUUGUUAGUUUUUUUUAAAAAAAAGGAGUAGUUGUUCCAACUACCCAAGAAUUAAUGGCCCAGCAAAUGAAAGAGCUUCUGCACAGCUCUUCGUACGUGGGACAGUGGGAGAGUAAAGCGUUUGGAUCUAAGGCAAUAGCUAACGUAGCCUCGCCGGGCAAGGACAGACAGACCUUUGGUAUGGACAUAUCAAUCUAGCUUUUAGUGGCAAGCUGGGAUAUAACCGCCGAUAAAUCCUUGCUCUCGAAGGAGAGCCGAUUUGGCUCGCUCGAGCGGGCAAAUGAACGAGCGCAGAAGAUGAACCGGUGUGUCCUGGAAUCGUGCACAUACACCAGCGAGGCAACUCCUUACCGUGCACCAGUUCCAUGCUUGUCCCUUAUAGCAGGAGCUCUCGAACUGGUUGCAAAUAGGCUAGACUUUAACUAACCUGGCAGGAGCUCUCGAAUAGGCUAGUUAAAUAAUGGGUGUUUUGUUGCCAAACCUCCAGGUGACGCCGACACCAUCUGCACCUAUGGUGUUUGCCAACCACCUGCCCACCUUCUUUUUUCUUAAUCUCAAUUAGCAGAUGGAUGGGUCCCACGUUCCUCUCCCCACUCUAAAGUAGAUCUUCUCUCACACGGGUCAUCCCCCCCCCCUCUCUCUCUCUCACCGGCCAUGGCUGUGGUUGACGUGGCCGGUGACUGACCCCGUGCCCCGUGUUCCCAUGGCUGGGCGUGAACUUCUUCCUCAAGGACGGCAUGGGCGCCUCCGCCGCCUCGCUGCAGAUCCUCCAGGCGUCUCCCAACCUUCCCAUGGUCGUCAAGCUGCUCCUCGGCCUCCUCUCCGACGUUGUUCCUGUCUGCGGCUACCGGCGGUUGCCCAUGGUCCCCUCGCCGACCAAGAUCAAGGGCGCCAGCAGUCAUCUCUCCUGCGAGCCGCCGCUCUUGCAGCCCCUCUCGGUCUCCAUCAUGUACCAUGUGAUUUUUUAUUUUUGAUCCAUCGUGUACCAUGAUUUUGUGCUAUGAUUUUGGAGUACCAUGUGAUUUUUUUUAUUUUGGAUCCAUCAUGUACCAUGAUUUUGUGUUGUUAUUUUGGAGUACCAUGUCAAUUUGUGGUUCCAUCUUUAAAAAUUAGUUGAGAAUGUAGUUAGUCACUAGGUAGUGAAUUUUUGUGCUGUGAUUUUUGAGUACCAUCAUGUACCUUGGGUACAUGCAUGACAACAUACUUAUAUUUUAUGAAUGUUUGUGUUGUGAUUUUAUAUUGGUACAUGAUGUACACUGUCUUGAUAUGUGAGGUACUUAAAAAUUGUUAAUGUACAUGUGAUGUAUCCAUACGUUGUAGUAGUCUUAGAAGAGAUACCAAAUUUUGACAGAUUUAUUUUUCUAAUACAUGUGAUGUACCACACCAUGUACUCGUCUCAUAAGUCCAUGUACACGACGUACUAUGUUUUAGGGAAUAAAAUUAGUACAUUUGUUUAUGUACCUUCAUUUGAUGUACAUGUACCUGACACACUAUACUAUGUACUUGGGAAUAAAAUUAGUACAAAGAAAACCAAGUGUGAGUGAAAAAGAAAAUAGGUACGUGACAUGGCCGACACAAACAAGAGAGAAUCAAAGUUUGAAUAAGUAGGAGAGAGAAAACGUCAUGGUCCCAUCCAAAAGCAUCUGUGUGCCUGACACCUCUCUUUUAAUCACCUAUCUCUAAUAUGGUGGAACCCAUGUCUUAGCAUGCCCAUGUGGAGGAAUGAGUGGCUACUAUGAUGGGUGCAGAUGCCGUCGGCGUCACCGUCUCGGUUUUAGUGUUUUGUUAGAGUUCUCACGAGUGAACAAGAGCAGAGGGUUAGACAGGGGGACGAGUGAACUCAUCGCCGACUCUAAAAUUUUGUAAGAUAAGAUUUGUACUGGCAGGCUUCAUCUCCAGAUUAUUUUUUCUAACAAGAAAGGUACAACGAGUGCGCGGGUGAGUCCAUGGAGACUGUACCUAGUGUGGGCUUGCUCACGCUCAUGGUCACCUUGCAGAGGUUUCAUCCAAAGAAAUCGCAAAUUCACACUAGAAGUCCCUAAAAUAGGACCCAUAAACAGCAUUUAGGGGGGAGCAAAUUUUACGGUCCAAAAAAAAUACAAACAUCAGCAAGGACAAUGGCCCAUAUUCCGCAGCCCCUAUAUUCUUUGAUGUAUGGGAUCCACUAGCUUGUUAGUGAUUUGCCUAAUUUUUUGCCCCCUUCUUCUCCCCAAAAUUCUCCACAGUAGGCACGGGGGCUCCUCACCGUUCUCCACCGCGCACUGGGCAAGGCGGCCGACCGGAGGCGGCGGCACGGGGCGGCGCGACACUUUGGGAUGGGCAUGGGCGGCGGAGGCUCGCGCGGAGUCUGUCGUGGUUCUCUCAGAUGUGCGCAGGCCCAGGCUCGUCCACUUUCGACCUCGAGCAAUCGCUGACGAGCCAGCGAAGAGCAGGGUGGAGGCCGUGGCCAAGGGCGGCGACAGUGGGAUUGGCCGCCGGUCACAGGAGAGGAGAAGUAAGGGCGCGAGGAGUAUCGUGAGGAGGAGGGGCCGACGAGAGGAAGAGGGGCAUGGGGAGGGAGAGAUGACGUGGCAGGGGAAUAGGGGAUGGGGGGGUGUGUGUGUGUCUUUCAGGGGCCUUGCUGAAAAUGUUGUUUUGACAUCGGCCCCUAAAAAUAGGAGGGGGGCCCUGUUUAGGGGCUCACCCGUCAAACAGCGCGCGUGGACACUAUUGUGUAACAUUCCAAAUUUCAAAACUCUUCAUAUGCAUUGCAUAUCAUAAGCAUCAUAUUUUCCUUGCAUUUAAUCACAUUUGAAAACCCUAAAGUUUACCCUGAGAAUCCCUGUUCAAAAGUGUUUUUAUUUGAUUUUGGGCUUUGAUCUUACUUUCAAGCAUUUGUGUUUUAACCCAUGAAAGCUUUGGUAUAAAAAGGGAGUUAAUGCAUGUAUAAAGCUAUCCCAUAAGUUUGCUUUUGAAAUUUUUUGAAAUAAUUUAUUUUGAUAGCCUAAAACGCCCUAUAAGCCAUUUUAUAGGAAAAUGUAUUUUUAAAUAUUUUAUUUUGAGGAAAUUCUUGUUCCAAAAGUUGGAUCACAGGAAAAUAUGAUUUUACAAAUUUUUUUGCAAUUUAUUUGGAGUGAUUUGGAGUUUUGAAUCAAUUUUGAGGUUCAAAAACAGAAAAUAGAAAAAGAGAAAAGAAAAACCGAGCCGAACCGGCCGAACCGGACCGAACUGGACCGGCCCAGCCCGAGCCGCCCGGACUCUCUCACUGACCGGUGGGCCCCGCCAUCGUCUUCAACCUCCAACUGCCGUCCGGAUUCCACGGCCACGCACGCCCCGAACCGCCCAUGAUUCCUCUCCGAUUCCUCCGCGCACACAACCCCAUCUCCGAAGCCGUUCGCGUCAGUUUGAAGCCCUCGAUCUCCUCUCUCUUUCCCCCAAACUCCCUUGCCCGAUUGCGCUCGCUCCUCGCCAAAAUUCCUCGCCGAAAAUCGUUGCUGCCGCCGCCAUCUUCGCGCUACCGCCGCCGCUCCGGUGAGAGUUCCGCGUCGCCAACCCCCUCCCGUCCUCCUCUCACUCUCCCGCAUCUUGUGACGCGUUUUUUUUCGUCUUUGGACCACCGCAGUUCGUUGCUGCCGCUCACCCGAGCUCCGCCGCCGGCCGCCGCUCUCCGCUCGUCCUAGGCGGCGUCCGUGGUCCCUGAGCCGAACCGCCGCCGCUCCCGGAACCGCCUUCCCGAGCCGCGUCCGCCCCGCCUGUCCCCGAGCUCCACCGCUGCCGCCCGACCGCCGACCGCCGCCUCCUCUUCCGUCUCCGGCCGCCGCGCCCGGUAAACCCCUCCCCUUCUAAUCUAGGCCGUAGAUGCUCAAUCCGACGGCCACAAAUGAAACCCUAGUUUGAAGCGGUACCGACCAACCACGAAUUGCCACGUGUCCCGUAUAAUUUUAAUCUUUUCUCGGCCGAUUUAAAAUUGUAAAUUUUGCAGAAAGCCCCUGUAACUUCAAAGCAUCAUAACUUUUAAACUGCUUGUCCAAAAAUUGUGAUCCGCACCUUUCUGAAAUCGUCACAACUUGUAGAAUACUUUGGCAUAGUCCAAUUUCAAUUUUGAACAACUUUGCCAGAAGCAAAUUACAGAUUGGUUGAAUAUGGUUUAAAUUUCAAAUGAAUUAUUUCAAAAUAGUUUUGAGCAUGUUAGCUUGCUGUAAAAUUAUUUUAGUAUGUUCUUGUCCAUUAGGACCAGAGGAGAAUUUUUUUUUAUGAAUGGCAUGACCGUGCAAGUUUAAAUCUUGUUCUAUGUUUUGCAAAAACCAUAUAAUCUUUUAAUUGAAGCCUAUCCUUGUUUCAUGCAUAUUAAUUACCUCUUUGAUGUUGUAUAAUCUGUCCAAAUCAUUUGAAAAACUUUUCAAAACAGAAAAAGAACUUGUUACAUUAGAAGUAACCAAGUGUGCAUCAUCAUGGCAUAUGCAUCAUAGCAUGAUUUUGUAUUGAAUGUUGUGUUUAUUAUGUAUAUGCUUUUUUUUAUUUUAAAUUGUGUGGAGUGUAAUCCCUGUUGUUGCGAGGAGUGUGAUAACCACUACAACUCUGGACAAGGCAAGUUCACUUUAAUCAUUCUCCUAAAUAUUUUUACUAUGCACUAGUUGUUUUGUUAGUUGCAUUAAGAUUAUUACUCGUACCUCUAUGGUAGCUAUAAAUCUCAGGUAGUAUAGUUUUACCCUUGCCGUUACCUUGCUACCAAAAUUGCCAUAGAUUGUAGUUGAAUGCUAGGCUAUGGUAGUAUUGUGGAGAAAAUUACUACAUUAUGUUAUUGUCAUGCCUUUGGCGAUAUGAAAUAUUUUGUUAGAUUAAGGCAAAACAAUUAAUUCAAUGAACCGUCCUGGGUGGGCUGCUUUGAGGAUUUUGAGGAUUAGCGGCGUCAGGUCCAUUUCUAUGGGUCCCUCUGAGUUGAGUUCCCGUAGAUUCGGGAAUGGAUCGUCCAUAGACGUCUCUUCCGUGGAUUCGGGGAGCGCCUACGUUGCAAAUGUGGAAUGCCACCUGGGGUAACCGAGACUGGACUAAUUUCCUAUUUAGCAGCUUCUAAUACAACCACAAUGCUAUAUGGGCUCUGGCGAGACAAGAGUAUGUUGUAUGAACCUAGACCCGAGAAAUUGUACUGAGGUAGCCGUGUAGGGGGAGCGUGAUUCUCUCGUGGUUUAGGGAAUUACCUCUGAAAAUCUCGUAAUAGAUGCCGUUGCUACUCUACCCUGAGGACAGUAAGGGAUUAACACGUCGGUUUCUUGUGGGGAAUGUGUACAAACUCUUGAGAGCGUCAAAACUAAGUACUUAGCCGUGUCCCCGGCAAUGGACAAUUUGAGCAACUAGAUGUGGAGCUGUAAGAAAAGUCUCACUCAUUCUAAUUUCCAAAUAAAAUGAAUGGUUUGAACUUGGGUUUAGGAGCAUUAAUGUGUCUACUCAAUGUCCUUAGUUUAAUAGGAGCAUGGGUGUGUCUACCCCCAUGUCCAAUAGUGAUAAAAUUUUAUUUGAUUUAAAAGAUAGGAUUAAAUAACUAAGCUUUUAUGCAAAUAGCCUUGAACCCCACUUUGCCAUAUUAUACAUAUAUUUGGUAGGUUCUGAUAUAAUUUCUGGUGAAUCUUGCCAAUACAAUGUAUUGACCCUAGUGGCUGCAUCGUUUAAUGAUGCAGGAAGCUCCGACGACGAGUAAUUUGUACGUUCUGCUUGCAUUGGGUUACGGGCCUACAUUCCAACACGCUCUCACCGUGGUGUUGAUGUGCCCUCGUAUCUUUCGCUUUCCGUUGCUAAACAGUUGUUUUAUUUCCAGCUAACCCGUGGGAUUAUGCAAGUUGUAAGUACUUUUAAAUUCUGGAUGAUACGUUGUAAUAUUGAGACCUUUGUUCUAUGAUAUUACAUCUUGAAACUAUGUGUGCUAGUUAGUCGAUUCAGGGACUAGCACUAAAGCACAGAGAUCGAACCCGUGUACGCGGACGGUCGUUUCAUAUUGUUGCGGUGGACAAGGCCUUCGCGGGAGCUGCUUAUCGAGGAGCCCCUAUAUCUUGAAAAGUAGGUAGGCUAGGUGUUGAUGUUGUUCUUGGUACAUAUCGCCCCCACUCCAAACCCUCCUAUUCGUUGUUGCCCACCUCCCACCCGCACAAACACAUCAUCCUUGAUCAUGCGUCGUCUUCGUGGACUACCUUGCCACUGUCUUCUUCCCUAACCAGUUGCUAGGCUGCAGGAUGGUAAGAGGAGAGGUCCAGGAGGUUCAAUGCAAAAUUCAUGAGCCUCACUUUGCUAAAGAAAAAAAGGGAGUCGUCGUGCUAGCCAAGUCAGCAGUCACCUGGAAGAUUAGAGCUCUAAAACGUAAUUGGAUCCAAUAUGUUCCCACCUGCUAGGUUUACGAGGGCAAGCAUGAUCUAUGAGUUUUUGUGGACUAAAUUGUUCUCACCUACCAAGUUAAGCGAUCUUUGAUGCAAUUUUCACCUUCCAAUCCAGUGGCUUCAAUCGCCAGUUUCAACAUGAUCGUGUGUUUUGAAAAUAAGUUUAUUUUAGCAGGUUAUUUUUGCCAAAGGAACUCUUGGGCACAAUAAGCCGUUGUUUAAUUUAUUUUAGACGAGAGAGGGGUAAAACAGGAAGUUAUCGGCUAGCAGCCAUGUUACGACGCGGAUGGACCACACCGCAUGAGAGGCUUUUUCCUUUAGGAACGAUCCAUCUCCAUACACGGCAAAAGCUGUCCCUCGGCGUACUCAUGCAGCUCAUGCACACAACCAACAAACUCCCUCGUUGAUCGAAACCCGCAACCUCACCACAUAAAUCCAACAGAAUCAAGCAAAUGCAUUCUCAUGCUCAUUUUAUCUGUUUCCAAAGGGGAGGGGAGAGGGAGAGAAGACGAGAGAACAUGGUUCUGAGGUGUAGGAGAACAUGAUGCUCACUUAGGAAACAAUUUAGGUUGUUGAGAAGACUCUUUCGUGGUCGUCCGCCUCGGUUUUUGGCUGAAACCGCACACACAUGCGCCAUCCCUCCCCCUCCUUUUGUCUCUGCCAACCCCACCCUAUCCCUCUCUUUUCUCUCGAUCUCUCCCCUUAAGCCUUCUCCUAGACAACGACGUCCUCCUCCUCCCCACACGCCGCCGCACACUCUCACUCACUCUCUCCCCCCACGUGUCAGCAUGACCUGUUGUUCUUUCUGAGAUCCCACGGAAGGCCGCCGCCCUUCUCCACGCCAUCGCCGUCCUCCCCCACACCACUACGCUGGAUCCCGCACUGCCUGGCCUCCCUAUGACCGGAUCCCACCUCACGUUGGUCUCUGCGCGCUGCCGUCAGUGCUCGUCGCGGAGAAAGUAUCCUAUGAAAGCCGUUCUUAGAUGAAAACGUGCAAACCAAAAUCAAGGCCGUUGGAUGAAAGACGUGUGGCCUAAGAUAAGCAUUGGCAACUUUUUAUUUAGGCCCAUAAGUUUGUUUCAAAUCAACCCGCAGUCCAACUUCCUACAUUUUGCAUUGGAUUUGUUUUAAGAAUAAUCUGAGAUACCAUUAUCCCCACAAACCGAAAUAAAUGGCACUUGUCAGUCGUCACGACGGCAGAGCAUGUUACAUGCUGUAAAAAAAACAGUUGAUUCUAGGCAGACAGAGAAAGGAAAUGCCACUUUCUUUAAGCAAUUACGAACAUCUCAUCAGCAAUCACCAAGUUCACUCAGCAGCAUUUGUACCCAGAAAAUAGGAUAAAAUUAUGCCCAGUUUGAUGAACAGAAAACAGUAGAAGAAAACUGAUUUUUGAAGGCCGAGACUACAGGAAACAGGAAAUCAACGUGAUUCAAGAGUGGAACACAAUUUUACAAGGUCUGGGGAACAGAUAAAAAAUAAUCUAAUGUGAGGGCAGAACUCUGAUUUCUACGAGGCUGGAUGACACUGAAAAAACUCCGAUUCACCGGAUGGAAAGUUGCACCAAGUACUUCCCAUUGAUGAUUUAUACUCCAUUUGCAAGCUGCUAAGAUAAUUUCAUAUUCAAAUUGACUGACUUCAACACUUUAUUAUGUUUUCUGAGAAAAAAAAAUUACAAUGGAGUGACAGGUUCUGUUGAGAUGGGGAAUAAAUUGGAUGUAUCUGUUUGUACACAGAAACAUAAGGAUCCUGCAGAGAGAGAACAUCCAUCAGACAAGAUUGCCAAUUGCUAACUAAGAAUAUAUGCUAGCAAAUGUUUGGACGUGGGAAUUUCUGUCUCCUGUUUAGUUCAAAUUUGAACCAUGGGUAAAAAUAACCCUAUCUAUUUUUUUGGUCAGGACCAAACCCUUCACCCACUCUAGUUCACUUUUGUUUUGAACACUGGCAAAAAUACAGACAAGUAUAACCUUGUCCAAAAUGGCUAGCCAAUUUUUUUGUAGGGUUGACUUGGGCUAAACUAGAUAGUACAAAGAUUUCCAUAGAAAUACAUCUCAUCCAAAUAGCAGAUGCCCUCCCUGCGGAAACAAAACAAAACCCAGUAAAAAAAUGAAACAUAAACUGCAACGUGCAGGGAAAAACUCCUAAUAGAAGAACUAUAUGCCAUCCAUGGAAGAAAACAGAGAAACCCCUCUUCAAAGCCCCACACGCUUAGAAAGAAAGGCCACAUAUGCACAUGUGGACAGAAGAAACAAAUAACCCUUCCCUGCUACAUAAACGAAGUCCAGGGUCACCCAGAAUGUGUAUCUGAUGAUAGCUCUUGUCAAUAUCCUUUUGCAGAUGGAUAUAUUCUUCGUGCACAUACACAUGUAAAAAAUAACUUUAUGACAAGAAAAUUAACAAGAUGAAAAAAAAGCUGCAAAGUUUAACAAGGACAGCCAAUAGAAGGGUCUGAACAUGAAUACACUAGGCUAAUUUAAGUAGUUAGUCAUCAUUCUUACCUUCAAUUAUCAGUCUUCAUCUGGAUCUUCUGGACGCUGUAAAUAGAUAAGGUCAAAUGAGCAGGAUUUUCUGCAAGCUAUUGAAAAACUGAAAAUAUAUAGGCUUCGUCAUUCCAAUCACAGAUUCAAUAAGACGUUCAGUUUUAAAUCAACGUAGCAUUCAAUGAAAUUUCGAGAACACUGUCUGGUACAUCCCAGCGAAUAACACAAACAAAAAUCAAGAGAAAAACAAUUUGCAUGCACACCCCAACUAGAGCAAAAUUCAAAUAAUAAAACCCUAUGGGUGAGGCUAUCAAGAAAGAAAGAAUGAAAGAAGAGACCACAAUGCUGCUGUCUUCGACAACACUCCCCCCAACAUCGCUUCCCUCCUCGACCUGAUAAAGGCGGAGGCUCGGCAGUGGUCUAGGGCAGGAGCAGUGGGCCUGGGGACGCUGCUGCCGCUGGAUCCUAGUUAGGCGCGUCGUGUUGUAAUCGGGUGUGGUCCGUGACCUUGUACAUAACCUUUUCUUUCUAUCUAUGCAUCGAGACGCAAAGCUUUUGGGUUUUCUCGGAAAAAAAAGAAGAGAUAAUGUAGACUGAUUUUUUUUCAGUUGUGUUUUUGUCUGUUUUUGAUUUUGUGGCUUUAAAAAAAUCAAAUACUGGAUGUUGACCUGCAACAGCAAUAGACCAUCUGUUUUUAACAAGGGUUGGCAACCCACUAAGAGGAAAUGUCCUUUGCAAUUUGGAUCUCAGAAGCUUAACUAAGUGUGGAAAAUUAGCCAUUAACUAAAUGUAUGGGGUCCUUGGUCCUGUACUAGCAAUAUUCUAUAAUGAUAUCAAUCCCAAAACAAAAGACUAGUCGUGAUGCUAAUCUUUUCCAGAGUCGAAUUGGGAUAAAGGCAUCCCAUUAGUACAAGAGACAAAAGACUAGCGGUGCAAAGACGGAGCAUCAAUGAUGCAAUGGACAAAGGACGAGACAAGUUCCAUCCAAACAGGUUUGAUAAUAAUGCUACAUGAACUGAAACAGGAGUUGAAACAUUCGCUGUGGACCUUCAAUGUAGCUCAAGGAUGAAAUGAUAUUUGCAUAUUUUUAUGUAAGAGGUUGGAUUUUGUACAUGCACAUGUACACAUGAGCUAUCAUGUCCACUCAGGUGCGUACAUGUGAUUUUAGAUCCGUACUGUCCAAACCCACUAUCCCCCUGAUGUGGCUCUUUUUUUUCGCGGAUACCCCGAUGUGGCUCUUUCCAUCUCCCUCUCUUCAAGCUCUGGCAAACCCUUCACAAACGGUACUCUCUCUCUGUCUCUUCUUCCUGCACUCAGGUAAGAACCACUUCACGCACAUCCUCCCCUUUCCAUGGCCCCUCAUGUUCUAGAUCGAUCUGGCAUCCAUUUCCGUCAAGGUUGAUGUGAUAUCUUUCUAGCUUAAUUGGCAGCUCAUCAUCGAGGCUGUCGCAACUACUGUCUUCGUCCACCAGGACUGCUAGCUAGUUCGUCGGCUGUUCCUGCAUUUCAUUUUGUUUUCUUCUCCUCAAUGCUCUCAGUUUUGUUUAUGUGUUGGUGUUCAUAGAUAGCAGAGGAGGCCGCUCCUGGCGGCUGGUGCAGUCACCCAUGGAGAGUUGUCACCACCAUCUGCUCGGCAUCAACAUCUGGGGCGGGUACAUGUCCUAGCUGCUGUCUGGCCACCCAGCAGUGCCACGGAGUUAACCUAACCAAAGUUCGAGCUGACUCUGCCACAGGUGGAAGACAAUGCAUUCAUUGUGGCCAUCACCAGAGUUCCGACCAGGAGCCCGCCAGUCCAAGAGAGAAGGUAUGUGCAGAAUCUGCCACAGGAAAAUAGCGCGAAAAGUUCAUAACUCGAUUAAUUCAAUUCACCAUGUUUUUUGCUCCACUAGAUCCAGAGGACUAAUAGAUUCCGCGGGGAGCAGAGAGGCCGGUCGCAAGAGCAGGCUGCACAAGAACUACCUCAAUGUGUUCUUGCUCAAUUCCCGAUUGAUCUAUCUCGCUGUGUUGGUGAGGCGAAGAGCAAAUCAGUUAAUUCAGCUUAUUGCUGACAAAGUCAUUGGUGCAGUGUGCAAGCGAGGUGAAGCACCCAGUGAUGAAAAUUGAGUUCUGCAGUGAUUUCGGAGUGCUCCAGCCCAACAAGUUUGAGAUCCAUGGUUCUAUGCUCACUGCUCUGCACCAGAAAAGCAUGAGUGACAUGCUAUGUAUAUCGCAGUAUUGCAGCACUGUACAAAGAUUAAUAUGGUAUGUGUUGUUAAUUACUUUGUUUUUUCAUUGCAGUUGGAUCCCCAUGCUGGGAAGAGCUUUUGAUCACCAAGCACUCGCCUCUUAAUGCUGACCACUCUUGAAUCGCUUGUGAAGUGCAGUGUCAAGCUGCAGUCAAUGCUCAUUCCUCAUCAGAAUCUCGCAGAUGAAGAAUUGCCAUGAUGUUGCUAAUUGAAUUAAUUUGAUGUGUGAUUUGUUCUUCAAACUAAUAUGAUCAAGCAGAUCAUUCUUGUUACCGUGUUCCCUGAUUCCAAUUGUUGUCAUUAUUGGAUGAAGAUAUGUUGUUUACUUGAUAUUCAUGUAGUUGAUAAUUUGAUAACUAGAGCUUGUUGUUGAAACAAUUUUGAUUGGGUGCCUGAGGACGUUUUCUUUUUCAUGCUAUAUACCCUGAUUUAAAUUAUCGGCAUUCUUCACUCAAUGGAUGGAAUGAUGGAUGUGCCAGGCCUACAUCCUGAACCUGGAGGCAGAUGGAGUUGGUGCACAUGCACCAGGAGCUCACCCUGGCCAGGCAACAGCAGCAGUAGCCCUGUUGGUGGUUAGUCUACUUACUACAAGCAUCCUUUGAUCCAGGCCGAAUUGUCCUGGGAUCGAUUAAUUGCAGGCGCUUGAUGUUAAGACUGAGCUCAAGGUUGUAAUGGCAAAAUUAUUGAUAUGACUUUCUCUUAAUUGUUUCUUGGCAUUGGCAGGUGUGGCGGCAUUCAAGAUGGAGUCCGUGCGGUGGGUGUGGGGAGGGGGCAGGCGAGCUGCGGGCAGCGCUGCAGCACACUCACGUGCCACCCCACCUCCGAGCGCCUGCAGACGCCAAGUUGGAGCAUUAUGACCCGCUGUUCCGCGCCAAGUCAUGCCGCCGUCAAGCACGACGUCUUGUCCAUCAUGUGCGAGGAGCGUUUCUUCCUCUGGAUUGCUGGUUUCCACCCCUCUGACCUCCUCACUGUCCUGACACUGCAGCUGGAGCUCGAGCCACAGUCACUGGCAGAGGAGCAGGCCGAGGCAGUGAGCUAGCCCCAGCGAACGUCAUGGCAAGCAGAGGACACGCUCGCGCAUGCCCCAGAGAGUGCCCAACAGUCGUGCGCGCAUGGCCUGGAGAGGCUCCAAGAGUCGCUCGCGAGUCCCUGUUGCAGUCAUUUCGACUGGUGGCGAUGGAGACGUGAGAAGAAGGCUUAGUUUUCGAGAUGGAGGUGCGGUGGAUGGUGUGGAAGCUGGAGGAGCUGACCAGGUUCAUGGAGCAGGCAGACCACUGCUGGCUGCGGAACAUCUACAAGAUCUUGGACAUCACUGUACAGAAAAUGAGCAGAGUGAAGAUGUUGGAGGAGGGUGGCAACAUGUACCACCAGGAGCGCAGGUUUAAGGGUGCGAGAACGGUGGCCAUGAGUGAGGGGGUGAGAGAGAGAGACAGUGGAGAAUACAAUGGAGUCAGGGGAGACGAUAGAGUAGUGCAAACAGGAUGGUUUAACCCCCUAGCUACAGAGGUGCUGCCUGUCUCUAUCUCUAGACAAUCCCAUCAAGUACCUAUUCAGAAAAUAGAAAGUAAAUAAAGAAAGCUGCUGGCCAUUUCCCGCACUUUUGUGAAUCCUAAAGCACAUGUGCAUACAUGAACAGCCAGGAUAUCUCAUGUGUGUAAUAUGCAUGCACCAAUGCUUUUCCCUUUAUGUCAAUGUGAGUAAUGCGACAGUUAUUUCAACGUCAAGAGAAAAAACUAACCAGAAGCUAGGAAGUAACUAUAUCAUGGUACCUUUUAGGCUACUGACAGCUAGAAAAAUACAUUUGGGCUAGCCAACAACCCAGAUGCUCCAAAGAUAAACUUGUUCGGCGAAUAAGAAUGUCAUACCGGUAGGAAGUUCCAAUCUUCCUCUCCCAAAUCAAAUUUUUCAGUAGUUUCUUCAUCAAACAGUAACUGAACCAGAACAAACAACAUAAGCAGUUACUCAUUGGAUAACAUGAAAAAUCAUCUAUUGACAAACUCACAGUAUGCAUUGCAGUGUACUCAUCAUAGUCAUAUAUAACUGCUGGGACAUACCUGAAAGGAACAAUGCUGUGAGAGACAAGGGGUAAAAUGGAUCACAAACUGAGGACAACAAAUAAAGGACAUCUAACUCCAUGAUCAAAUUUGAGGUCGUCAAGGCAUACAUUUUGUCCCGUCGAUCCCACAAACGGAUAAUCUCCCCAAUACAAUUAUCCGAGGUUAUCUUUCUUUUUUUCACAAUAUGCUGAUCUUGUGAGCUUCCUGAGUUGCCAUUGUGAAGAAUAAUUGAGUUGACCGACUUAGAGGUGCCAACCAUUUUUCUGCAUUUUGAAGAUCCACAGUGGCAAUCUUGAUCUGCUCCAAACUGGACAAAUCUAUAGAUAGGGACAAGAGAUAAGAAACAUCAUAACAGUUCCAUAUAUACACAAUGCAAUAAAUCAAGGUGGGUCAAAUAACUUUAUUCAUAAUGAAAAAAAAACUUAUAAACCAGGAAACUGGAUGAACAUACUUAUAGUCAUAGGUUAGCUCCUCUCCUUUCUUUAUGUCACGAAGAGCAAAAAUUCCUACUCUGGUCUCUCCAUCUACAGUCCUGAAACGACAUGAGGCUUAUAUCAGGGACAUCAACAUAGAUUUCAGGAGUAGGGCAUGCAUAGAACAACCAGUACAACAUAACUAACCAUUUCUGCAUCUCUGUGUUAGGUUGACAACUAUGAUUGAUAAACCUUGACUUGUUUCCCUUGUUUGUUGCAUCAAUGACCAUGUUGCUACUGACCUCACAAAGGUAAAAAUUAGUGUAGCGCUGUCUCUUCAUUUUCCAUAGUCUUUCCUCACAAGUUCUGUCAUCAAUAACUAAAACAUUGAUGCAGGAUACAUGGACGUUAGUUUAAUCGCCUAGCGCGCAAUUGGAGAAAUCAUCAACAUAAUAUAUAAAAACUAUAGUAUUUGUGUACAUUUAAUUAACUUGCUCACAAUACAUUGAACAAAGCCAUACCUUCUCCUACAUAUUCUAUAAUAAACUCUCCUUUCUGUAUUCCAUCAUCAGCUACCAAUCCAAAGCCACAUUUCUCUGUCUACAUAAAAUAAUAGUCUUUUAGGGAACUGAUGAGAAGGGAUAAAUAUGUACGAAGUAAAGUUUUUAUGAGACAAUUAACUUUAUACAGCAUUCAGAGUUUCACAUGAAAUCUUGAAAAUGGAACACCAAUAAUAAUUUCGAGAAACCAGAACAUCAAAUAGUUGCUUAGAUUCUCUCCAUACUUUAACACAGAAAAGUAUGCUUUCCUCCUCACACAUUUUAAGUUUGCCAACUGUAAAGUAUUUAAUGGUUUUUUUUACUGAAAAGUACUCAGUGCUUGAAGUACUGCUUCUAUUUGCACAUGAAGAUGCUACCUCACAGGAUAAACGAAGUUUCAUAGAGAAAUGGAUUUGCCAUGGUUUAAGACACAGGAUUAGUUGUGGACAAAAUAUGACUCUAUACCACAGUAUUGUUGAAUAUUUAUGCAAACAUAUAUUCAUCUCUACAAACAUGCACAUAUAAGGGCUAAACCAAAAUACACAGGACACAGGGAUAUGAAUAAUGCUUCUGAGAUUUCUCUUAGAUCUAAAGUACUUCCAAAAAUAACAAAGAAAAAUUUGCAACUGCUCAUUUCAGAAAUAACUAAUGUUAUUAAGGAAAUAAAGAAAAGCAUUCUAAAUGGAACAUCAUAAGGCAUAACAAUGUCAAUACUAGAGAACAUAGUAGCAUAAAUAUUAACCAAGGGGAGAUGGUGCAGUACUGACUAUAGAAACAAAUGCCUUUAGUACAAAAAACAGUCCCCUGUUGACCCUGCUGGACAAGGCAAAUGUAGCAGUUGUUUGCACACAGCUUUACAUGACUGUCUGCCCUCAUACGAAUUGGUAGGAACUAGGAAGCUGUUGCAAUUUUGUGAAUUGGUAUUUCUAUUUUUUUUUGUAGAUGAUAGAUGCAAAUGGGAAUCAUAUAAAUACUGAUAAGUCUUAAUUGAUGUCGUCAUUUUGUCCAUAAAUUCUUGCAUCGAACUAUUAUGCCAAAUCAUUGCGUGGUUGUUAUCUAGAAGACUAGAAGUUCUGUUUUUCUUUGUGCUUCUAUAGCAAAGCAGGGGCACUAUGCUAGUGCAUAGGAAGUUUUCAGAUAUGGCAGGUAAAGCAUUUUCUAUCAAUAUGUUUGUAUCCUCAAAGGCUAACACCUAAACACAAAUCAGAUGGAGUACGAACAAGCCAACAGUAGCAGGAAUUGGAAGGAGAGGACAGCAGCGGCCAGCCGGGGUGGAGGGGGAUGGUUGCUUUGGGCUACCAGUCAAGCUGCAGCAGAGUGAAGGACCACGGGCAUUAUGUCAAGGAGACAGAGGUAGAUUGGAAUCAGGAGCAGGGCUAUUAGAUAUAGUUUUUUGCGUGCUGAAUCACAGGUCCAUCAAGGCAGACCGUGAACAGGAGAUCAACAUCCCUGCCCCUGCUUCAAGGUGUUCUUCCCACAAUACACGGUUACCCCAAUUGUGGUAGAAAUAUCACAUCCCUGCUCCCUCUGGAAAUUAGUCUGUGGAAAGAAUUCCAGCUAAACAAAAAGGGGCAUAAUAGAGGGAUUCUCUUCCGAGAAUAGGAAAUGGGGCCCCACUGGCGUCCCUAACAUGUGAAGUCUUCAAAACGGCAGAGCAGGGUGACACAUAACUGCAACGUGAAAGGGGUUUGAUUCAUUCAAAUGUAUUUUGAAAAUAGAUAUCGUACAUAAAGAAAGGCAUAGACGAUUUCUUUUAAGAAGCAGAGGACUGUAUUCGUGGCAGGAAUGGGUCAUUACAAUAUCACUAUCUGUUCAAGAUCCAUCAUUACCAUUACAAACUUCCAUGAUUUAGAGGUAAUUUUCCCCUCAAGCUGUAUUUCCAUGUUUCAUUUUCAUCCUCUACUGAGCAUCUCCAAUGGCAUCCCCCAAAGCUAACCCAAAUGUCCUAUUUGGGGGAUAUGGACAUUUUGCUCCCAAAAUCAUCUCCCAAUGGCAUCCCCUAAACAGACAAAAUGUCAGAGCAUCUCCAAUGGCAUCCCCCAAAGUUAUCCCACAUGUCCUAUUUGGGGGAUAUGGACAUUUUGCCCCCGAAAUCAUCUCCCAAUGGCAUCCCCCUAAACGGACAAAAUGUCAUGUUUGUCCGGAUACAUCCCCCAAACUUGCCCCAAAUUUGGGGGAGGUUUGGGGUGCCCGAACAUUGUCCGGUGCUCUCUUUUGUCCGCCCCGACCCCACAACAAGAGAUGGGAAAAGGAGAAGAAAAAGUGAAAAGGAGAGGAAAAAGGAUAAAGAGAAGAAAAAGCUAAUUCAGGAGAGGAAUUUGGGGGAUGUGGUUGGGUGAUGAGGGCGGACAUGGGGAGGACACAUGUCCACUUGCUCUCCCAAAUGACCAAAAAAAGGUUUUUGGGACAAAAUUUGGGGGAUCCCAUUGGAGAUGCUCUCAUGUUUGUCCGGAUACAUCCCCCAAACUUGCCCCAAAUUUGGGGGAGGUUUGGGGUGUCCGGACAUUGUCCGGUGCUCUCUUUUGUCCCCACCGGCCCCCGCAGUCUGCCGCCGCGAUAUUUCAACCUCCAGGAGCUCCCCCUGCCCCCACCCCCUCUCCUCACCUAGCAUUAGCAACACGCAGCCGAUGGCUACCCCGGCCCCGCCCGUAGCUGCCUCGCGGGGCUCACCGCCCUGCCUCCCCAGUUCCCCGCCUCGUCAAUUCCAUCACUCCAAUUACCCAAUCAGAAUUGGGAAAUCUCCUCUGCGACUUGUGCAACUUCGGUUCAUUGCUUGCUCCUCUGUCCACUGUCUUCUACCCAAAUUUUUGUUCAUUAGUAUAUAGCUAGUUGAGAUCUGAUGAAUUGAUGAUUUCCCUUUGAUAAUUCGUUGUUUCAAUUUAAUUUUAUCAAAAAAAAACUGAAAAAGAAUUUAAUGUUAUCAAUUACUUAGGAAAAAAAUUGUCAGAACUUUUUUGGCCUGGGGCAUGAGCAAUUCCUGGCUCCACCGUUCCCUAUGCACCUAAAGGGCAUGAAACUAAUUCUCUAACCUCCCACAACUUCUAUCAAGGUAUCCGCAAAAAAAUCAUCUGCCUAAUAAACCGGAGAGUACAUAGAAAGUUGAUCACUUUCUAUGCAAGGUUCACACACCAACUAUAACAAUGAAAAUGUUCCUCAUUACUUUUCCCCUUAAAAUGGUCAUACCUUGAUCAAUUUGGUUUUUUUCAGAGGCCUGAGCUGGAAUGAUUUAUUGGCACACCUAUUCUCACAUUUGCAGUUUGAUGAACAACAAGAGAACAGCAUCCUGCACGAUAAAAUAGUGUUUCAGGAAUUUGACACAAGAUUGCUAGAAUUUAACAGUGCAGUAAUCAAAUAGCCAAGAACUUGUACAGUUUCUUCAUUUCACUUCAACAGAGAAUAAAGCAGUAUUAGAUCACUGGCUGUAAAUUUGUGCUGCAUGAGAGAGAGAGAGAGAGAGUACCCGCAUUGGCAAUCUUUUCCACAAGCGACUGAUGAUCCAGAAAUAAAAGGGCAAGAACAGAAAAUGCCGUCAUCUUCAACCCGUUUCUUAGUAAGAUAAACAUCUUAGUAAAAUUAAGGACAGCAAUAAUAUGAAAAACAAACAUACCUCUUAACAUGUCCAAAUUAAAAGUACACGUCAAGGGGGUGUAAAUGAGCAAUGACUGGAUCUUCACUCACGAAAAAAAAAUGAAUGAACAACAUUAUAUUGAGCCAUUUUGAAAUGCACCCCUUUGAACACAUUACUGCGAAAAUAUAAAAACUCGUUUUCCCAAGUCAUGCUGCUUUCUACUUUAACAAAAGGCUAUACAGCAUGAGGGUUUCUCCACUAAUUACUUAUUGUUAUGGAUGUACCACUAAUCUAGAAUCUAGACUGCAAGUGAAAUGCACAGAAAAAUAUGAUUAAUCUUCAACCUGUCGUUUUGCAAAAUAAAAAUUAGGCUAUAGUGCACAUCAUUGGCGCUCUGAGAAGUAAUAGAUUUAAGGAACCAGUUGGUAUGGAUACUUCGCUUAAUUGGUAUAUAGUAGCCUAACUUCCAUUCUUUCAACGCAGGUGGCAGAUCAAAAUCUACAAAAUCCGCAGGAUCUUGCAGUUUCCUGGUCAAUUUAUUGAAAACAUCUUCAGGUUUCUGCAGAACAAAAUAGCUGGUAAAUAGGCAUAUAAGAUAUCAACUAUAAUUUAUUUCUUUUCAUCUCUUUCAGUUUGAAUUAGUUUUGGGUUGAGAACUAAUAUCUAGGACAUUUUUCAAAUCUGGUAGGUUAGUGUAUCUAUGAUACUCCCUCUUCCCAAAAAAGAUGUCGUAUUAGCUUUUCAUAUUUUUUCCCAAAAAACAUGUCGCAUUAGCUUGGCCUGCCCCUAGUGCUAAUUAAGGUUGCCAAAAAACGUGCAAUUGGUGGCAUGCAUAGCCAUGCACUGGUUGAGCUCUUUGCAUGCACCAAUGGCUAGAAGUACCAAGGUGAAAUUUCGCAUCCGUGCUGCCAAAAUAAAUGCUAAUAGAGCUAGCUCAUGAAUCUCAUUGGUAUUUGGGAUUUUGCUAAUACGACAUCCUUUUUGGGAAGGAGGGAGUAUAUAUCUACCAUGGACUUUUUUUUUUUUUGGUAUUGCCUUUGUAGCCCAAUGUCCACUGCAUGACGAGAAUGUAGCUGAGAGUGGUAUGACAAGGAUAAUACAAGAACCGUGGGAUACACAUAAACUUGUUAAAUCACCAACUGCAACUGGUGUUCUAGUGGAGGUACCGAGGGUUGUGCUGACUGCUUAAGCUUUAGUUGCCAGAGCUUCGCAUCAGCUCAACUAUACCCGCCCCCACUCACCCCUAAGCAUAUAUCCUGGCUCCAACCUGUCUAGACUCUAUAACAGAUAAAUACAGUAUAGCAGUGGUUAACGGAUGACCGUGUGAUGCAGUACAAUUCUAUUAAGCACCUUUCAAUAGGCAAGCACAAGUCAUGUUGCAGACAGACACAUGUAUGGACCUGGGGAUUCGCCAUUUGGCCGUGAAAAAAUGGCAAAACAGGAGCACGGUCAUAUAUAGUUCAACUAUUACACUAUUUGCACACAUUUAUCUAAUUCUCUAGUCUUGACGCGUUUAUGCUAAACUGAAACUGAACGUAAGCCGGACAAAUCGAACCGUAAAUAUGAUCGCCACAGUUAAGAAGUUAAAAAUGAAUAAAAAAACUACUGUACUGUUCAAACAGCCAAGAAUCUACCAAGCUGCCUAUUUACAAUCUCUCAACAUCCCAAGUCAACAAAAGAACAACCUAGCAUUGAGAAAGGCAACUUCGCUGACAGUUUCGCGUACAGACUCCGUGACUGCCCAAAUUCAGCAGCGAGGGCACGGUGUCCUUAAGCUGAUGAUCUAGAGGACAAGGAACUCACCAUGACUGCCGGCACCGGCGGAGGACCCAGCAGGGCAAGGUAGGGCGGCCGCCCUACCUUGAUUUUUGCCUCAGUUACGAAUUGGGGCAGAUUAAGAAGAUCAAAGGGGAGCUAGGGCGGAAUCCGUUCGUGGGGUGAUGGGAGGAGAAACCGUCGGGAGCGAGAGAAUCGAAGGAGAGAGCAACCUGCGGUGGAGGCGCUCGCGCGAGGUGGAAGACGAGCUAGGGGGCUGGGGCGUGGCAGCGGGGAUGGGGAGGGAAGGGGCGGCGGCGCUCGCGCGAGGGGGGGAGAAAAUCCUGCCAGAGAAUCAGAGAACUUCUUUUUAGGAAUGCCAUUCUGCCAGCUUUUAAAAAAACCAGAAUAGCAUUUUUUUUAGAGGGAAUAGAAUUUAGUUAAGCAAAGAUAGUUAGAGCAUUUCGGGCUGGCCCCUACGCGUUUAGGGGCGCGGGCGUCCAAAAACCGACCCAGCCCAGCUCCUUAUUCUCAAAUUUUAGUCAGCGCCACCAGGCCGAACCCAACCCAUAGGGAGGCGAGCGGGGGCACCAGCGAAGUGUUUUAUGGCACGGGCCCGUUUUGUCAGCGCCAUUUAUCGUCCUCACCGGUUUCGCCUCGGCUUCCCAGGCGAGUUAUCGCGGUCGUCAGAUCAAACCGCCGCCCCGUCUCGUCGGCUUCCACGCGUCGCGCCCCCGCGCAUUCCCAACGACGUUUCUCACCGCGUCCACACCCCUAACGUGUUAACUUCGGCGCUUAUAAAAGGCAGCACCGCCCGAGAUAGCUCGUCAUUCCUCUCCCUCGGCCUUUUCCUCCCUCGCCGACCUCCUCUUGCCCUCCUCCUCAUCGCCGAUGAGAUGGCCGACAACUGGGACGACCGGCGCUGGCUCCGCCUUGGCGAGGCCGAGGCGCUCAGACGGGCCGGCUGACGGGUGCUCGGCAGCACGAACGGAUCUGGGAGCACUACUACGACGUGCUGACGCGUGGAGCAGCAGGUGUUGCCAGAGUGGGAUCGUCACACCGGCACCGCCUGGGCCGGCCUCUUCGAGGCGGAGCACCGGCGCGCCGUCCGUGAUGUGCCGCACCCGAUGGUGCAAAACAACAUCAAGGGCCGAAGCGCCUUCUGGCGACAGCCGGGGCGGUCCCUCGAGGCCGUCCUGGCGCACAUCGCCGCCGGCACCUAGCCACGACUCGACGGCGGUGCUCCCCCGCCUCCACCACUGGCCGGACGCCCCCGCUACCUAGGCGGUGGCUCUGGCUCGUCCUCUUCUUCAUCGGCGGGGCGCACGCCAUUGCUCUAGCUCCGGAUCCUCAUCGGCAGGAGCACAGCAGGCCGCGUCGCCGUCGCACAGCCACCUCCGCCUCGUCUGGCCGACGCCGGAGCCGGAGUGGGCGCCUCCGCCGGAGUACGAGAGCACCGCCAUCGAGCCCCGCGGUGACUCCAACCCGGAGAAGUUUUCGGGUCUGCGCGCCGCCGAGUGCGCCAGUUCGCACGAGGCGGAGCAGCGCCGCCUCCUCGUCUACAUGGUCUUCGAGGCCGAAGUCCAGGCUUUGCUGGACGAGGAGGAGGCGAAGGAGUCAGCGAAGCAGAAGCCGGCACUGGCACCGGUGAAGCAGGAGCCAGGUGUCAUCGUCCUCGACUCCGACGACGACGGCUCCGGCUUCAACUUCUACAACGACGGCAACAACGCCUCCUAGAUCGACCGGCGACUAGGGUUUUUUUUAAUCAUGUAAAUUAUCGCAAGUUUGAAUGAAAUGACGCGAACUUUAUGAAUUAUCGCAAGUUUAAUUUUGUUUCGAAUUUAUUAUCGGGGGCCCGGCUAGGACACGGUAGGGCCCCAAAUUAUCCUUUGCACCGGCGUCCUUCAUAUGGCCCAAAAAUAUGACAGGCCGGACGCCAUAUAUGGGGGGCCGGCUGGAGAUGCUCUUACAUCCUCCGAGAAGAUGUCACAAGAAAUCAGGCGGGUCCUCAUUCCACACACUUCGGAUGGGGAUCUGGCAUUCUGAUUUCUUGUGACAUCUUCUCGCGGAUGGUGUAACUAUCUUUGCUUAAUUAAAUGAUAUUCUGGUUUAUUCGGGCGGGAUGGUUCAACGGGCCAACCCAUCAGCAACAUAUUUCUUUAUUCGCCCAGCUUCAACAACCUUUUUUUCUUAGAAUGUCAUUCAGCCAACUUUAUUGAUCAAUACAAAUACAAGAUAAAAUAAAGUUAGGAGAAUCAUCGUCCAAGUACAAGAACCCAUAACAACCCCUCACAAUCUCAUGUGUGACGAAUUAACUUCACUAGGACAAAACUCUACCUUAGCAUUAGAAAAACCAGAUAAAAGGAUUUUGCAAUGCAAAAAGAUGGCAGCCGUCGGAGUAGCCGAAAAACCAUCAUCAAGCAUCAUCUCAACCACCAUGGCGUUGUCAGAUUGGAUGAUAAACCUGUUACAUCCAGGGUUUUGGAUUUCCGUUUCUAAUUUUUUUCGCCCCUGACCGAUAUUUCCGAAUUUUGGAAUUUUGGGUUUAGGGUUUCGGCCGCAGUCAUGACCUUUCCGGUGUCAUCUUGUCCCCCACAAACGGGAUAUCGCCACUAGCAGCAGUCAUGAACUUGCCAUUGUCAUCACGGAUCACCGCGCCAACACUUCCCCUCCCAUCAUCAAUAUUGAAAGCAGCGUCCACAUUAAUUUUCAAGAAAUCUUCUAGGGGCAGCUCCAGCCAUCUCUUUUAAUAGUCGAUCUCUUCUGCCGUACAUGCCAGUAAUUACUCGCUAAAGCCCCGAUAGCCAUGGCCGACCGGUGUGGUGCCUCCUCUGCUUUGUCUCGAACAAUUUGCCUCAUAUCCCACUAGAUAUACCAGGCCCCGGUUAAGAUAAAUCUCCGGUAGUCCGAUCCCUCACAACGGGUUCCAUGUUCCCUUCGAACAAAUGAUGUGCUCUAGAGCAAUAGCACCGGCUCUAUCAAUAGUGACUUCUUCAGCAAUAAUCUCCUGGACACCAAGUCGUUCCCAUCUUUUCGAGCACGUUGGCAGGCGAAAAGGAUGUGCAUAGUGUCUUCACAAUCUAAAGAGCAAAUUGGGCAACCACUCAAGGGAAUAGAAUGGCGAUUUGCCAAAACACCGGAAGUAAACCAUGAAGCACUCGCCACCCAAAAAUCUUAAUGUUCGCUGGGAUCUUCAAACUUCAGAGCUUCUUCCAAACAGUGCUUAUCUCGAAUCUCCCAAUACCCUUUCCUUCCUAUACCAAAUUGGUAGUCCCACUAAGCGUGAUAUGCCGAGCGAACGCUGACCAAUCUGUUCUUCGUGUCUGGCCCUGCCGGACACGAAGAAUGCACGAGAGGUUGUCGCAGGAGAAGGUAAAAGAUGGACAUGAAGGCAUAUGCUAGCCAGCCCGAUCAUGAUCGAGGAGUACUCUUUGUCUAUGUAUUAUUAUCUUGCACUGCCUGGAUACACGUUUGCAACUGGAUUUAUAUAGGAAAUUACGUGCUCAGCUCUGGCAUAGUUAGUUAGCCUAGCUAAGAUGCUGAGAAGCAUUGAUUAGUCUUUGUGCAUAUCGUAGAGUAUUUACAUUGACUGACCCAAUAUAUGUGUAGGUGGUGGUCGGUCACUUUGCUCAAAGGAUCAGAUUCGGUCGUUUGCGGCCACUUAUAGUACCAGGAGUAUUAAUUAACCACAUCGAUGACUAGGAGUUUUAUUUAUCAAUGAAACAAGCAGUUGUGUGAGGACGUUCUUUAAAAACUUCAUCAUUCUUCUAUCGGGCAUGAUUUCGGAGGUUAUGCUUGUGGAGGCCUACUUUUCCAAACAGUUAUGGGUGUGUUUGGUUUCCUGAGUGUCUUGAGCCUGUAUUGCAUCCUGGAGCCUGGGUCUAGGAACCAGGCUGAGAGGAUGCGGGCUGGAGAUAGAUACGAGUGUUUGGUUGCAGUCGAGCUCGGCCAGGAUGAGCGGCAGAGAAGAGAAGGCGAGAUGGGCCGUGGAGCUUGGUCUGGAGCAGAGCAAUGAGAUGCGCGAUCGAGGGAAGGAAAAAACCACGGGAGGAACCGUGCGAGGCCUGCACGAGGGGAUCGAAACGCCCGAUUUCCCCGCAGUCUGGCGGGAGGGCUUGUUUUGCAUCGGUCGGGCCAGGCUGAGCCCAUAGUGCAGGCCACCAAUCAAGGCCGAAUUUGCAUACAUCAUGCGAGCGAGACCUCAUGCGGGCAUCCAAUCACUGUGAGUACGCACGUUCAGGUUACAAACCUUGAGUUGAGUCUUGAGAUUAGACUAACGCAAGUCAGUCUCACUCUCAUAUACACGCCCAUAACAAAUUUCAAUUAUCCUGACUAUCAAAACUCUUAAAAACCACGUAUAGGUGAUGAGAUAGAACCAAAACACGACCGACCCAUACAGACCUGGUUCCUACGAAAUGAGUGAGUAAGCGCGCUUGGGAUAGUCUAGUUCUUUUCCUACUUGAGGGAGUGAGAACCACACACCUUCUCUUAUAAAAAUGUCAAUUACUCUUUCCAUUAACAAGGUGGAUCUAAACCUCACACCCUCGUACCACCAUCUAAUAUAAUAGGUCUUUACGAUAUUUUUCAAAUUUAUUAUUGGACUGGGAUUUGGGCCACCUAAAAUUCCAACGGUACACGUAAACACACAACGAGCUCGUAGGUGCAGCAAGCUCUAGUUGAAAUUUGUUUAAAUAAACUGGUGACUAAGAGUAAAGAACAUGGCAACCGAGUAGCUAUACAACCAAUGGAGCCUAACACAAUGGUUCAAACAUCUUUAGCUCAUUACCUUCGCCAGAACUUGUCUAAACAGAAAGAUUACGACAUAUAUUUGUCACUUUUGCAUCAAGUAUUUUGUGAACCCAUCGGCCACUAGAUCACCGGAAACAACAAACUGUACACAUAUCCAACAACAUACUCCGUAAGUGUGAAUCUAUCUUCUACAUACAUGUGAAGCUUCCAUAUAAUCCAUACAUGCGUGUUUCCAAACCUAGUAGUAGACCUGAUGCGCUUGCGGAUAACUUUCCACGCUGGGCUUCGCAUCGUCGAAGUUGAGCUGACGAGCCGGCGGAUAUUGUGACGCCGGAGCACGAGCAGCAGCCUGCGCCGUCGGGGACGACACAGCCGGCUGCAGCAUGCCGUCGUACGUCUUGGAGGGUACACGGGAAGGCGGCGAAGGCGGCGGCUCGUACCUCUUGGAUGGCACGGCAGCAGCAGCAGCAGCAGGAGGAGGAGGAGGAGGAGGAGGAGAAGGAAUCCACGCCGGCUGAGGAGGCGGCUCUUGCCUCUUGGGCGCUGAGACCGGCGUCACUACCUGUUGAGGAGGAGGAGGAGGCAACAAUUCUGUCGUCGGCGGAUAAUAAGGUGCAGGCGCUGUUACGACAUGUGGUGCUGACUGCAUCGGCGCCGGCUGGUCCGGAUUUUUGCGAAAGCUGUCAUCGUGCUUGCCAGGCUCAUCUUUGGGGCUGCCGCAGCAGAACCAGAUGUUGCAGGAGAGGUUGUCGCAGGAGAAGCUCAGAGAUGGAAGUGAAGGCAUGUCCGUCCCCGAACACUUGCUCUAUGCCAAUUAAUCGAUCUACCUAUAUUGCAGAUUUGCAGUGCUUAGCUACAGAUUUAAGACUGGGUUUAUAUAGGAAAGCCAGCACGUACGUCCAUCAGGCUUAGUACGUGUAUUAGCGUACGUAGCUUGGAUGCUAAGGAUUGGUAACAUCUUUGUGGUUGGUAUCUAUAGCUAUAUUGACUUGACCGAAUUAUGCUAUUGGUGGUCGGUCACACUUUAAUUUGACGGAAGGAUCAGAUUCCAUCGCCCACUCC
rnacentral:lncRNA from 1 species